rnacentral:rRNA from 1 species
UACAGAGGGUGCAAGCGUUAAUCGGAAUUACUGGGCGUAAAGCGCGCGUAGGUGGUUUGUUAAGUUGGAUGUGAAAUCCCCGGGCUCAACCUGGGAACUGCAUUCAAAACUGACUGACUAGAGUAUGGUAGAGGGUGGUGGAAUUUCCUGUGUAGCGGUGAAAUGCGUAGAUAUAGGAAGGAACACCAGUGGCGAAGGCGACCACCUGGACUGAAGUACUGACACUGAGGUGCGAAAGCGUGGGGAGCAAACAGG